GCAAAAUUUGGAAGAGGAUAACCCUACAAACUAAAGCUGUAAGCUAUAUGCAUUGCUGUAUAAUUUAUAAAGUACUGAGGCCCUACAAAGGAGCUAAAAUCAAGCUAACUUUUCUGUUUGAGCCCCAAAACAGAUUUAAAACAAAAAGCACGUGGAAAUCAAAUGUGAUUAAUGAUUUAAAAAUGAGAAGGAGGUUCAAUAGCUACCAAAUACAGAACAGGCAUUGAAUGGUAUUUCUUCUCUUGCAAAUUUCAGAAUGGACAAAAAUAACAAUUCUUUUUUUUUUUUAUUCCAACAAAAUAAAUAAAUA